rnacentral:rRNA from 1 species
UGGGGAAUUUUCCGCAAUGGGCGAAAGCCUGACGGAGCAAUCUCGCGUGAGGGAUGACUGCCUAUGGGUUGUAAACCUCUUUUUUCAGGGAGGAAUAAAUGACGUGUACCUGAAGAAUAAGCAUCGGCUAACUCCGUGCCAGCAGCCGCGGUAAGACGGAGGAUGCAAGUGUUAUCCGGAAUCACUGGGCGUAAAGCGUCUGUAGGUGGUUUAAUAAGUCAACUGUUAAAUCUUGAAGCUUAACUUCAAAAUCGCAGUCGAAACUGUUAGACUAGAGUAUAGUAGGGGUAAAGGGAAUUUCCAGUGGAGCGGUGAAAUGCGUAGAGAUUGGAAAGAACACCGAUGGCGAAGGCACUUUACUGGGCUAUUACUGACACUCAGAGACGAAAGCUAGGGUAGCAAAUG